rnacentral:rRNA from 1 species
AACGUAGGUGGCGAGCGUUAUCCGGAUUCAUUGGGCGUAAAGAGCUUGUAGGUGGCGGCGUAAGUUGGACGUGAAAUCGCCCGGCUCAACCGGGCGGGGUCGUUCAAUACUGCGCGGCUGGAGGAGGUCAGAGGGAAGUGGAAUUCCUGGUGUAGCAGUGAAAUGCGUAGAUAUCAGGAGGAACACCCGUGGCGAAGGCGGCUUCCUGGGGCCAUCCUGACACUGAGAAGCGAAAGCUAGGGGGGCGAACGGG